GGUGCUUUAUAUCCACCUAGAGGAGCCUGUUCCAUAACCGAUGAUCCCCGAUUUACCUCACCACUCCUUGCUAAUUCAGCCUAUAUACCGCCAUCUUCAGUUAACCCUAAAAAGGAAAUAAAGUAAGCCUAAUCAGUAUUACUAAAGAAGUUAGGUCAAGGUGUAGCCCAUGGAGUGGAGCGAAAUGGGCUACAUUUUCUAUUACUAGAACAUUACGAAACUCUACGUGAAAUCCGUAGAAUAAAGGAGGAUUUAGUAGUAAAUUAAAACUAGAGUGUUUAAUUGAAUAGAGCAAUGAAGCACGCACACACCGCCCGUCACCCUCCUCAAUUUCUCAACAAUUAAAAGUACAUAACACCUAAUUACAAAAGAUUGAGAGGAGACAAGUCGUAACAAGGUAAGUGUACUGGAAAGUGCACUUGGAAAAAUCAAAAU
rnacentral:ncRNA from 1 species